rnacentral:lncRNA from 1 species
GCUCAGUCAGUAUGAACCGAUACAGUAAAGUAAAACUAAUUAUCAGUAGGACAGAGUUCGGUGCCAGUUGAGUAGGGCAAAGGUUGUAGUAAUCGAGAAGAUUCCAGACAAACUUCAGAAUCAAAAAUCAAAGACCGACUUGAAGGUCUUCAACAUAGAAGGCAAUCUGAUCUGAAGGAGGAGAGUUCAUCCAACCAUCAGAGCCAAGAACGAAGAGCUGAUACUGCUUCGGGAUACGAUAUUGCUCCUGGAGCUGUUCAACAUUAGGUUCAGAUAG